CCCAGAGGUAUUGAUAGGUGGAAUCAACUCCGGUUGAUUAACACGCUUACACCAGCCUGCGUUUUUACGCAGGUUUUUUUU
rnacentral:sRNA from 1 species